AGAGAGAGAGAGAGAGAGAGGCGUGCGAACCAGAAGCUCGGCCGGCCUCCCCCUUCGCUCGUCCGGCCGCUCGGCCGCUCGUCGCCGGCCGCCCCUCCGCCCGCUUGCCGUCGCUCAGCUCGCGUGCACCUCCGCUUCUCUCCUCUAUCCUCUUUCUGCUGUUCGGUGCCCUUGUUGUGCGAAGAUCAGAGCAAACCGAAGCAGCAUGUCCCGCUCGCCGUCGGAGCAGCUGCACGCCUCCGACCGUCGCCGUGGCGCCGCCCUAGCGCGCGGUGCUGCCCGCGCGUCUCAGCCCCCUCACGCCGUCGCCCCUGUUUCAACCGAGAUCCAGCAGCUUCUUCGAGUAGCUCAGGCCAUCACCGGAGCUCCCUCCGCCGCCGUCGACCUCCCCUUCAGCCCGUCCAAGCCCUCGCCGGUCUCCUCCGCCGUUCCUCCGCCCAAACCGGCGCCGGAUCUGCUCCCUCUCGGCCCCAAGCAGAAUCUGGAAAAAUGGGUAUGGCAGCGGGUGUUUGGCCCGUUUUGGCCGCCUUCCCGAGCCCGGAUGUUCGGCUCGCUUUGAGGAAAGUCGAUCCCCGCGUCGUCCCCGUCGUUUUGGUCCGCUCGGCUCGCUAAUCCGGUGAGUUUAGCUCACUAAAUCUUGAUUAGACGGUUAAUGAUGCCCUAAGUGUGCUUAGUCUAAGUUAAGUAAGUUUAGGUGGUUAGAUUAGUUUAUUUGGUUGAGGAUUAUAUUAAGAUGCUUAAUUAAGUUAAAGUGUGUUUAGUUUAAAAUUAAGUAUGUUUAUUUUAAUAUAAAGCCUUGAUGUGACAUAAUAGGGUUUUACUUUUGAAUUAUUUAAUGAUUUCGAAUUCUGGAAUUUAUAAUAUUAUAUUAUAUUCCGAAAUUAUUAAAAUAUUAUUAUUUAUAAAAAAAUGGAAAAAUUAUUUUUGACCCCGAUUGCUUAGAAUUUCGUGCCGAUCGCUGCUGUGUAAUCGGAUUUUGAAAUUGAUGAUUGGAUAUUAUAAAUUGAGCGUGGAUCGUGAAAAAUAUGGAUAUUAUUAUUAUAUUAAUUUUCGGAAUAAAUUUAAUUAUUUAAUAAAUUCCGAAAAAUAUUUUGGGACCGUAAAUUCUCAGAAUUUUGUGCUGAUUGCUGCAGCGUAUUCAGAUUUUGAAUUUGAUGAUUAGAUAUUCAAAUUGAGUGAUGAUUGGUGCAAUUAAUUAUCUAAUUGUUGUGUGCUGGUUGAAAGACUCGGGUCGCAGUAGUGGCUAGGCCGAUUGGAUCCUUAUUCUACUAGAAAUGCUGUCAAGGGAGUGACGUGGCUCGGGUCGCAGUAGUGGCUAGGCCGACUGGACCUUUGUUCUUCUAGAAAUGCCGUCAAGGGAGUGACGUGGCUCGGGUCGCAGUAGUGGCUAGGCCGACUGGAUCCUUAUUCUACUAGAAAUGCCGUCAAGGGAGUGACGUGGCUCGGGUCGCAGUAGUGGCUAGGCCGACUGGACCUUUGUUCUUCUAGAAAUGCCGUCAAGGGAGUGACGUGGCUCGGGUCGCAGUAGUGGCUAGGCCGACUGGACCUUUGUUCUUCUAGAAAUGCCGUCAAGGGAGUGACGUGGCUCGGGUCGCAGUAGUGGCUAGGCCGACUGGAUCCUUAUUCUACUAGAAAUGCCGUCAAGGGAGUGACGUGGCUCGGGUCGCAGUAGUGGCUAGGCCGACUGGACCUUUGUUCUUCUAGAAAUGCCGUCAAGGGAGUGACGUGGCUCGGGUCGCAGUAGUGGCUAGGCCGACUGGACCUUUAUUCUUCUAGAAAUGCCGUACUGUUAGUAGAUAGCCGACCUCCGAGUAGGCUAUGCCCUUGUGUGGCAGUGAAUGAUAAUUGGAAUGCGUGCUAAGUGCGAUUAUGAUUUAUAUGAAAGUGAUGGCUUUUCAAUUGUUUGAAUUAUUAUUACUACCUGAGAUUGUGUGAUAUAAAUUGUGCUAAUCUGCAUGAAGGAAUUAAGACGAGGUAAGUCUUCUGUGUGACGUGGCUAGGCCACCCGGGGUGUAUUUUCUUUCUAAUAGGGGUUUAGGGGGUUGAACUUGCUGAGACAUCGUCUCAUCCCGGUUGUGAGAUUAAAAUUUCAGGUCCCCGGUGGACGGAGUGGCCAGAUAGCUUUGGUUGGCCUUGAGGAGUUGCAGAUGUGAAGUCGUAAGAUUGGAGAACGUGUUCGACUUGUAGGUCGUAGGACAGUUCAUUUUUUUUAGAGCCGGUCUUUUGUAGACUGUUGGCCGUAGACCAUUGUUUGUAAUUCUGUUGAUUUGUGAAAGCGUUAUGUGGUGAUUUUGCUUCCCGCUUUUCUAUCCCGUAAUUUAUUGUCAGGGGUUUUAUAAUACGCUUCCGCAUGUGCACUAAAGAAUUGAUUGGGUCGGCGACUUAACCUGGGACGUCGCAUUUG
rnacentral:lncRNA from 1 species